rnacentral:rRNA from 1 species
UGCCAGCAGCCGCGGUAAUACAGAGGGUGCAAGCGUUAAUCGGACUGACUGGGCGUAAAGGGCGUGUAGGCGGCUAAAUCAGUCGGAUGUAAAAGUCCCGGGCUUAACCUGGGAAGGCCAUCCGAUACUGUUUAGCUAGAGUCUAGGAGAGGGAAGUGGAAUUUCCGGAGUAGCGGUGAAAUGCGUAGAUUUCGGAAGGAACACCAGUGGCGAAGGCGACUUCCUGGCUUAAGACUGACGCUGAGGCGCGAAAGCGUGGGUAGCAAACAGGAUUAGAUA